rnacentral:lncRNA from 1 species
CUACCUUGGACUGCUGCCACAGUAGUCCUUGUCCGAUCUCUAAACUGUGGGCAAUCUCUGACUUGAUAUCCCAAAUCAUUACACCUAUAACACCUGAUCUUACUAUAGUCCCUUGACUUGGACCUAAACCGCUCAUCUUAUGAUCCUCUAUCCCUUCAUCCUCUGCCACCACCACCUCCAGUCACUGUCAUAGUCGAGUCACACCUGAACUCAAAGCUUGAUUUUCUCAUCUAAGUACCUCAUUCUGGAGAAGUGCAGAAGUGACUUUAUCCAUCUUGAUGGGUCUCUUCCCC